rnacentral:rRNA from 1 species
CCUACGGGUGGCAGCAGUGAGGAAUAUUGGUCAAUGGACGAGAGUCUGAACCAGCCAAGUAGCGUGAAGGAUGACUGCCCUAUGGGUUGUAAACUUCUUUUAUAUGGGAAUAAAAUGUUCCACGUGUGGGAUUUUGUAUGUACCAUAUGAAUAAGGAUCGGCUAACUCCGUGCCAGCAGCCGCGGUAAUACGGAGGAUCCGAGCGUUAUCCGGAUUUAUUGGGUUUAAAGGGAGCGUAGGUGGAUUGUUAAGUCAGUUGUGAAAGUUUGCGGCUCAUCCGUAAAAUUGCAGUUGAAACUGGCAGUCGUGAGUACAGUAGAGGUGGGCGGAAUGCGUGGUGUAGCGGUGAAAUGCUUAGAUAUCACGAAGAACUCCGAUUGCGAAGGCAGCUCACUGGACUGCAACUGACACUGAGGCUCGAAAGUGUGGGUAUCAAACAGGAUUAGAUACCCCUGUAGUC